GUCAGAGUUUGAUCCUGGCUCAGAUUGAACGCUGGCGGCAUGCUUUACACAUGCAAGUCGAACGGUAACAGGUUAAGCUGACGAGUGGCGAACGGGUGAGUAAUGCAUCGGAACGUGCCCGAUCGUGGGGGAUAACGCAGCGAAAGCUGCGCUAAUACCGCAUACGAUCUGAGGAUGAAAGCGGGGGACCGUAAGGCCUCGCGCGAUUGGAGCGGCCGAUAUCAGAUUAGGUAGUUGGUGAGGUAAAGGCUCACCAAGCCAACGAUCUGUAGCUGGUCUGAGAGGACGACCAGCCACACUGGGGACUGAGACACGGCCAGACUCCUACGGGAGCAGCAGUGGGGAAUUUGGACAAUGGGGCGAAAGCCUGAUCCCAGCAAUGCCGCGUGCAGGAUGAAGG
rnacentral:rRNA from 1 species